GGGCGCUGCGGGCGGGAUCAGCGGCGGCAGAAGUGACGCGGCCGGAGCGACUUGGUCCUGUAGGGUCCGGUUCCCGGCAAAGAGCAACGGGAGGGCUGCGCGGAGCUCGCCGCCCACAAGCAGCAAAGCGCGGCUGGGCAGCGGCAGGACUACACGGGGAUCCCUUUCCAGCGGGGAAACUGGGGCAGGGAGGCACGCCCUGGAGCAGCAGCGUCAGCCGCGUUGGAUGCCGUGGUCCCAUUCCUCGCCAGCAAGGACCCAACCGGUCAGGAAUGGGCAGGGUCAGCUAGGCGCUCCUCCGGCGCGCGCACAGAGCGCCACCGCUAGGGUGGCUCGGGUGGGCCACGCAGAGAGCCCCCCGGGAGCGGGGCGAGGGGCCUCCGGAAAAGUGGACGCGGGGAGGGGAGGGGUCUGCCCACCUAAUCAUUUUGAAAAUGAUUAACAACCUACCAACAUAAUAAUAUUCAUGUCUAAUUUGUAGAUAUGGGUCGUUCUCUCCAUCUAAGAGUGUUGUUGUUUGGUCAUGUCCGACUCUUCGUGGCCCCCUGGGACCAGAGCACACCAGGCACUCCUGUCUUCCACUGCCUCCCGCAGUUUGGUCAAACUCAUGCUGGUAGCUUAGAGAACACUGUCCCACCAUCUCGUCCUCUGUCAUCCCCUUCUCCUUGUGCCCUCCAUCUUUCCCAACAUCAGGGUCUUUUCCAGGGAGUCUACUCUUCUCAUGAGGUGGCCAAAGUCUUGGAGCCUCAGCUUCAGGAUCUGUCCUUCCAGUGAGCACUCAGGGCUGAUUUCCUUCAGAAUGGACAGGUUUGAUCGUCUUGCAGUCCAUGAGUCAAGAGUCUCCUCCAGCACCAUAAUUCAAAAGCAUCAGUUUUUUGGCGAUCAGCCUUCUUUAUGGUCCAGCUCUCACUUCCAUACAUCACUACUGGGAAAACCAUAGCUUUAACUAUACGGACCUUUGUUGGCAAGGUGAUGUCUCUGAUUUUUAAGAUGCUGUCUAGGUUUGUCAUUGCUUUCCUCCCAAGAAGCAGGCAUCUUUUAAUUUCGUGACUGCUGUCACCAUCUGCAGUGAUCAUGGAGCCCAAGAAAGUAAAAUCUCUCACUCCCAUCUAAGAGUAGAUACCUUGAAAUUAACGGACCUCAGGACAUAACGCCCAUUCAUUACUUUGACACUGAGUACAGCCUGUAACAGAUUGAGAAAAAUCUGCGUUGUUUUGACUGAGCAAAGGCGCAUGUAAAUUCCCUCAGGCACCAAACUGCAUGGGAAGCGUUGCUAAAGCAGACACCAUGCCAGCCUGUGCCAAUCUGGUGCCAAUCCCCCACAUGCUUUGGACCACAACCCCCAUCACUCCCAGCCAGCGCAAAACGCUCUGUUUGGGGGAAAACAGGCAAAUUUGUCUGCCCUCUCCCAGACUUAGACAAUGUUGGUGGCAGAAGAAAAGGUGAAAAAGAAGAAAUAAAAUCAGCACAAAGCUUGGGGUGAGGGAGCCCAGGGCUCUUAAGGGGAUUCAGACCUACCUCCAGUCAUCAAAUACUGGGGAUGCCACCAGCCUGUGUGUGCAUAUGAGAAAGUGGGAGGGCACACUUUGAGUAUGCGCUCUUCCCCACAGGCUUGGCCAAGGGUCAGAGGGCCAGAGCUUAGUGACAGAGCAUCUGCUUUGCAUGCAGAGGUUCCCCAGAGAGCAUGCAGAGGUUCCCAUCAGAGAGCAUCUCCAGGAAGGGCUCCCUGUCUGAGACCCUGGAGAGCCACUGCUGCCUGUGAGUGUGUAAGUACAGAGCUAGAUGAAUCAAUGUUCUGAGGUAGAAAGCAACUUCCUACAUUCCUAAGGCUAACAGCCCUCCAGAGAAUGCCUGCCUAAUCUUUGUCCACUGACACAGCAAACUCAUUCCGUAGUCUUGGGCGCCAUCCUUUGCUAUUGCUUUGCCCCAUGGCCAUGCUUUCUCUUGGGUUCCCCCCCCCCCAAUCGUUUACUCUACAACUUGUAGGGGAGGCCGUGCCAGAAAUUUUCUGCCAAUGUUUAUUAAGCUAUGCCUUUCUUUCUAAACUGACACCCAACCUCUGGCAACGCUAAUUUUAUGCACACUCUUGUGCUUCUGCAAGCGAUACCAGAGCCAGUCAAGUCACUGUUGCAACAUCAGACUUGCAGACUUUGCUCUAAUAAAGGACUCAGUCAAUAAAGGACUCAUCAUUCAUUAGAGGACCAACCUGUUGCAUCUUUGCUCCCCUGCCCAGGACUUGCCUCUCCCUUUUUCCUGCUGACUCAGAGGCUGUUCUCACCAGAGAGCAGGAUCUUGCCCAUAUCCCUAUCUGCCUGCUGGGUCCCCUCCGCAUCCUCCAUCCUGUCCACCUUCUUCACAUCUGCUUGUCUAUACAAAUGAAAGUUUUGCUGGUUGUUUCAUAAAAUUUAUCCGCCACUUGAUUAUUAAAAAAACAAAACACCUCAAAGCUGGUUUACAGAAGAGAUAAAACAAUGAAAUUAUUACUAAGAAAAUAUAGCAGCAAUAAGUUAAGAAAUUUGAAAAGCUAAAAUAACAAGGGAUUAAAAACGGAUCAAAACUCACAUCAACUUUCCAAACAUCUGGGUAGGCUUGUCGAAGCAAAAGCACUUCUAGCAGGUGCCGAAAAGAGUGCAGCGAAGGCACCUGCCCGGUGUCAAUAGGCAGGGAGUUCCAAAGAUUGUAGGGGCAGCGGAGAGAUGGUUUGCAGUUAGGCCCCAACAGCCUGGGCUUGAGUAUUACUGUUCGCCUCCCCCAACUUGGAGAGGAAGAGGAUUGAGGCUGCAAGUCCAAGAAGAAGUAUCCUUGGCUGGGCUGGCUUUGGGAAGGGUCCUCGUAGCUCAGGGGCAGAGCACCUGCUUGGCAUGCAGAAGGCCUGGGCUCAGUCCCCAGUGGCAUCUCCUGGGAGGGCUAGGAAUGGCUCUCUUUCUGUCAGCGUAGACAGUCCUGAAAUGGAUGGAGCAACUCCUGCCUCAUUGCAUGUGAUGUAGGAGUUGCCAAGCCUCUGCCACACCCAGGCCCAGCUGCUCAUUACCCCAUGGGCAGUCUGCACACUCCCUUUCUGACACCUUGAUUAAGGAGAUCCAGAAGCUCCUCUCCAGGUCUCAGCCCUCCGGAGCAACAGGGGUGCCCCUGGGGGCCCCAGUUUCCAGCAGAGCAACAGCCGUGGAGGAGCUGUGCAUUGGCGGCAGGAGGUGAGAGGAGGAACUGGUUGAAGCAGGCCGGCUGCCUCUCUUCACACCCACCUUCUCUCCCAGGAGAAGCCGGGAGGGAGGGAGCCACAGGCGGAUCAGCUGAGCUCCAGGGAAACCGAAUCGAAGGCCGUGAGUACUUGCUUUUGCCUCGCUGGCACUACCACAGGCCACCUCCCUGGCAGUACAGGCUGAAGGAGGUACAAGGGAUGGGGCUUCCCUCCAAGUUUGAAGGGUGGCUGGCCAACAUCUGAUUCCCCCCCUGGGGACAGAGAACCUGUCUUGCCUUUGGGAGGCUGCUGCUUCCUCCCUGGCCUUGCCUGCUGGGCUCUCCACAGCCAGCCUGGGCUCAUAGCUAGGGGUGAGGAGGAUGCUGAGGGGAUCUGGAGGGCGGCCACCGAUGUUUCCCUGUGCUCUGUUGGAAGGGUCUCUGGCAGUGAGGAAGACCUUUCCCUGCCUGCCACAAUCCUAGCUUAGGUGAUCAGGCCGAUUGUUAGAAGGCAGCAUCCCAAGUACUCGGGGGUAGAAUGUCGCCCUGCAAAUGGAAGGUCCCAGGUUCAAUCCCCAAUGGCAUUUCCAAGUGGGGCUGGGAGAGACCCCCUGCCUGAAGCCCUGGAGAGCAGCUGCCAGUCACUGGAGACACUAUUGAGCAAGAUGGGCCAAUGGUCUGACUUGGUAUAAGGCCGCUUCCUAUGUUCCUAUGCACUGUCUCUCUGUCUUGUAACAGCAGCCAUUGAACCCUCACAACGCUCCUUUGAGGUAGGCUGAGAGAGAGAGAGGCUGGCUGGCUGAAGGUUCUCCAAUCAACGGAUAGACAUUUGAACCCAGAUCCCUCCAAUCCAAGCCCAAUUGUUAGCCUAUCCAGUGGUGAUGACCUAGGGGCUGAUGGGAGUUGUAGUCCAAAACAUGCGUUGGGCGCCAGGCUUGCAAACUCUGUCAUGGUGCCAUUUGUUUCUGUGUCAGGGAAAGGGUCCCUUGAUAAAAAGUUGUAUUUGAUGAGCUGCCAUUGAAGGCUCAGGAAUAAUUUCACAAAAAAUAAAUAGAUGGCACCCGAAGCACCUGGUUCUGCCUCUUCCGGCCCAGUGGCUUCCCUCCCCCAGGCACAUCCUCUUGCCUUCCCACACGCAAGCAGCACACCAGAAGGUGCCUGAGAUGUAGAAGGACACUGGCCACUCCAGCUGCGGCUGGGUAAGAGCACUGAGGGAGGUGACACUGGGAAAGACGCACCCCAGGAGCCGGGAGGAGAGAAGCUGGGGUGAGGGGCUCCCAACUGCCCUGCAGUAAAAUGAAACUGGGGAACAGCAUUGGGUGUGCUAAGUUAGGCUCCUGAAUUGGGAGGGGGGAGAUGCUGAUCAGGAGUGGGGCUUUGUUCGUACAUCAUGCUUAUUUCAUGAAAAAUAUACUGCUUGAUUGUAAGAAGCAGCCAACCUCAAAGUGGAUUUAUGGGAGAGGGCUGUGAGGUCACAUCAUAUUCUGUUUGUUAACUGUUCUGAGGUUGGUUUGUUUUUUACAAAGUCGUGUAUACAUUUUAUAAAAUUAAAUUAAACGGUUCUGCCACUGAGAACAAAGGCCCUUAGCUCAGAAGGUGCUUGGAGGCUCCCCUGCCCUCUCUGUCUCUCUCAUGCCAUAGCUGCCUGUCUCUUGCACCUGACUCUGAUUGGUAGAGCUUGGGGGUCCUAGUCAGAGGGCACAAAGUAGGUCCCACAAGAGUGAGGUCUGCCCAGCCCUCAUCUCAGCUUGGCCUGCCUCCCUCUGCCAGGCAGCCUGCCUCUCUGGCUCUCUCUCUUUUUUUUAAAUAAUAUUUAUUAAAAUUUCACAAGAAAAAAACACCACAUU